GAAGCUGGUCAAACUUGAUCAUUUAGAGGAAGUAAAAGUCGAUAGACAAGGUUUCCGUAGGUGAACCUGCGGAAGGAUCAUCA
rnacentral:rRNA from 1 species